rnacentral:lncRNA from 1 species
ACCGAGCCACAAUUCUCAAGCCUUCUUGCCCACCAAUGCCAGACUUCCUCCAAGCCAUGAGACAAUCAAAGAGGAGUACGGGGUGACUGAGCUGGGGGAACCCAACAACUCAGCUGUUGUGAGGACCACCGUGAUCAACAUGCCCAGAGAGUUCUGUGCCUGACCAUGUGGCCUGGUCCCUGUUCAAUACACUCUUCUUCAACGCCUGCUGCCUGGGCUUCAUUGCCUAUGCCUACUCUGUGAAAUUCAGGGACAGGAAGAUGGUGGGCGAUGUGAUUGGAGCCCAGGCCUACGCCUCCACUGCCAAGUGCCUGAAUAUCAGCUCCCUGAUCUUCAGCAUCCUUAUGGUCAUUAUCUGCAUCAUUAUUUUCUCUACCACCUCUGUGGUAGUCUUUCAGUCGUUUUCACAAAGAACGCCACAAUCUGGAUU